GACGAACGCUGGCGGCGUGCUUAACACAUGCAAGUCGAACGCUGAAGGCCCAGCUUGCUGGUUGGAUGAGUGGCGAACGGGUGAGUAACACGUGAGUAACCUGCCCCCUUCUUUGGGAUAACGGUCGGAAACGGCUGCUAAUACCGGGUAUUCACUGUCCUUCGCAUGGGGGGUGGUGGAAAGGUUUUUUCUGGUGGGGGAUGGGCUCACGGCCUAUCAGCUUGUUGGUGGGGUGAUGGCUUACCAAGGCUUUGACGGGUAACCGGCCUGAGAGGGUGACCGGUCACAUUGGGACUGAGAUACGGCCCAGACUCCUACGGGAGGCAGCAGUGGGGAAUAUUGCACAAUGGGCGAAAGCCUGAUGCAGCGACGCCGCGUGAGGGAUGGAGGCCUUCGGGGUUGUAAACCUCUUUCGCUCAUGGUCAAGCCGCAACAGUGGUUGUGGUGAGGGUAGUGGGUAAAGAAGCACCGGCUAACUACGUGCCAGCAGCCGCGGUAAUACGUAGGGUGCGAGCGUUUGUCCGGAAUUAUUGGGCGUAAAGGGCUUGUAGGCGGCUUGUCGCGUCUGCCGUGAAAUCCUCUGGCUUAACUGGGGGGCGUGCGGUGGGUACGGGCAGGCUUGAAUGCGGUAGGGGAGACUGAACUCCUUGUGUAGCGUGAAUGCGCAGAUAUAGGGAGGACACGGUGGCGAAGCGGGUCUCUGGGCCGUUACUGACGCUGAGGAGCGAAGCUGGGGAGCGAACAG
rnacentral:rRNA from 1 species